GUGAAGCAGUUCGACAUUUGUAAUGGCCGUCGAUGGUCAUCGCAAUCACAAGUUGUUCUGUGAUAUUUUUAUUUCGGUACGUAGAAUUUGCACCUGAAAUCAGAUUGUGCAUCGCGCAGACACAACCAGACGAGAACGAGGCGUUACGAAAACGACCAACUCGUUACGUUAGAAACGCGGAAAUGUGUCUACUUGUUUGAUAACGAACGUCUGUCGUUUGUGCCGUCGUCGUCGUCUACUUGUUUUCCGCAACGCACGUGAAAAUAGAGUAUCUCAAUAACCAGGAGAAAAUAGAAAUUCAGAAGUUUUCAGUUUAAGAUAAAAGUUUUAAAAAGUUCUCGCCAACCACUUAACCAAAUAGUUCAUAUGUUACCGAACUCCGCUCGAUCGCUCCACGAUUUUGGAUGAUAGUCGGCGAAGUUUCUGCAAAAGAGGUAUUCGGUUUGGUACUUGUCCGUAUUGCGCGAGGUUGCUGCUCUGGUAUCGACAUUCCGCGAGCUAAGUUUGAAACCUGAAGAAAGUAUAGUGCCGUUUGCGAUUCCGUGUUUACGGUCCGUAUUUCGGUUGCGGCUACUGCGAUUGCAAUGCCCAUAUCGACUACAACAGUGACUACACUGGGAGUCUCAACAAUUUCUUCAACGCCGACUGUCAAUAUGCUGGCAACAUCAGUUGCGACCGUUGUGGAUGACGUCUCGAUCAGUAACAAUGUAUCAAGUUCGACUUCAGUAGGCGUCACAUCUGCUGUUGUUGCACCUCAGAGUAGCUGCCCCUCAUCAUCGUCCUCGAUCACAACUUCAUCAAUGGCGGCGGGUUCAUCAAUAUCAGCAGGGCCCACAGCCCCCACUACGUCAUCAAUAGAUGCUCUUGACGCCAAUUCUUGCAACAAUAUUAUUACAACUCCUCCUACACCGACAAUCUGUAUUGGAGGCGGGGCUGUAACCUCGAGCAAUUGUGACGAUUUACUCACAAAUUCUAUGCUAAACGGCGUGGCCGCUAUUCAGCAAUCUCAUAAUAUAGUAGUAAACAGUGGAGUUACGCUCCUGGAUUGUAACGAUUUGAAGUCGCCGAUUGAUCAGCAACAAUCCCCGCAAUCACAAUCACAACCGCCCAAGAUUAGUGAUUUGAAUCUAGGAUCUGUCACAUCAAACGGAGGCCCCGGAAACAAUUCUUUAGCCAAUAUAUUGAUCUCGCCAGCUGGAUCUGGCGGGAGUGGAGGCUACAUGUCGCACUCUGAUCACAGCGGCUCAGUAGGGAUCGGUAGCGGGAAUGGCGUAAAUGGAGGGCGUUCCAAUACUCCUCUCUGGUCAACCGCUGGUGAUGAUACAAAUCAUCUCUCAAUGAAUGGAUUCGGAAGCUUCCCAAAUUUCUCCACUCCGCCUAUGUUCAACGGCGGGGGUGCUGGUAAUCUCUCAGCCGGCCUCUCACAUCAACAGCAACGACGUGCAAUAACCGCAUCACAGCAAAGUUUUCCACAUCAUGGACUUUCCCCCAACCGCUCAGCUCCACUUCUCCAGACACAACAUCAACAACAACAACAAAAUCAGCAGAAAAACAUGUUUAACAACCCAUAUCCUACUUGGUCAAAUGCAGCGGUCGUAGCAGCUGCAGCUGCUGCCCAAUCUGCUGCGGCUGCCUGGUCGGCCCAACAGCAUCCACAAUCGCAGCAGCAAAAUCAACAGUCUCAGUGGAGUCGUGGACGAUCUGUGCCGAAUUUGAAUCCUCCGUUGAGCGGUAAUAGUGGUGGCGGUGGAGGCGCCGGGUUGAUGUCGCAACGCAAACCAAAUUCCCCAAAUCCUGGGCCGUCACAGUCACCAUUUAAUGUUUCGCAAUCUGGAAUUACUGGCAUAUCGCCAUUGAAGUAUAGACGAAGCACUUCGUUCCCGGGAAAAUCGGCAUCGCCGGCUGGAUAUUCGUUGGAUGUACCCACAAUCGACGAUGGACGAGAUCCCUUCUUGGCUUAUCAGGACCGAUCGGGGAUGGGAAAUGGACUAGACAUGCGUUCACUGGAGCACUGUCUUAGUGAUAUAAUGCGGAACGUGGGAGAGACGAAUCAACAGGAUCACUUGAAAGGCUUUCUCAAUUGUAAUUCAAAUACCUUACAGUCGCUGGCUCAACUGCAUGGAAACAAUAGGAAAUUAUUCCCUCAACGUCGAACAGAAUAUACACGUAAACCGUACUUCCAAGGACUCGAUGAUCAUAUUUCCGAAGAGACCGGAGGAUUUGUCGAUGGAGCAAACUUGCCAUUGAACUCGCCUGCACGCUCAUCCCCCCACUCGCAAGGCUCCGAAGUCACUGAACGCUACUCACGGAAGGUGUUUGUGGGCGGAUUACCACCAGAUAUUGAUGAAGAUGAAAUUACGACAUCCUUCAGACGUUUUGGACCACUCGUUGUAGAUUGGCCACAUAAAGCCGAAUCGAAGUCGUAUUUUCCACCGAAGGGAUAUGCGUUUUUACUCUUCCAGGAUGAAGGAAGCGUUCAACAGUUAAUUGAGGCAUGCAUCACGGACGAGGAAAAAUUGUAUUUAUGCGUCUCUUCGCCCACAAUAAAAGACAAACCUGUACAAAUUCGACCCUGGCGUUUGGCUGAUGCUGAUUUUGUCCUUGAUGCUUCCAUGCCGCUUGAUCCACGGAAGACUGUGUUUGUUGGUGGUGUCCCAAGACCACUCAAAGCGGUUGAACUUGCAAUGAUAAUGGAUCGCUUGUAUGGAGGAGUCUGCUAUGCCGGAAUCGACACCGACCCAGAACUGAAAUAUCCAAAGGGCGCUGGUCGUGUUGCGUUUGCCAAUCAGCAAAGUUACAUAGCAGCAAUAUCGGCAAGGUUUGUACAGCUACAGCACGGAGACAUAGACAAACGCGUUGAAGUAAAACCCUACGUUCUCGAUGAUCAGAUGUGUGACGAGUGUCAGGGACAACGUUGUGGCGGAAAAUUUGCUCCAUUCUUCUGUGCAAACGUUACGUGUCUUCAGUAUUAUUGCGAACACUGCUGGGCAACAAUACACUCUCGACCAGGACGUGAAUAUCACAAACCACUAGUCAAGGAGGGUGCGGAUAGACCCCGUGCAGUACCAUUUCGCUGGUGUUAACCCAUGUGCAUUAAACGCAUUCGUCGCAGAAGACUACAUUGAUCUAGACAAAUUGUUAUUUCAUACAAGCGGAAGAAAAUGAAGAAAAAAAAGGAACAGCUAGACCAAUAACGAACUUAAAAAGAAGCAAAGAAAACUUACAUCAUGCAAAAAUUAAUAUAUUAUGAAGAUGAAAAACACGAGCUCCGAGACGCAAUCGUCCGUUGAUGCGAUUUUUUUUUCAAAAAAAAAUAUUUUCUACUAUUAACUUUUUUACUGUUAUAAUUAAAUGUUUUUCGUUUUCUGUUUCCUAUUGAUUAAUUUUUAAAAAACAAUUUUUUAUUACACAUCAAUUAAUAUGCAAAUGCGCUAUUUUUAUAUUUAUAUUAUAAUUAUAAAAAAACUUUGUUAUUAGUACGUGAAGAGCUUUCAUACUUGUACGACACUGUGUCGUGUUUAUGUGAUUUUUUUUCUGUUCUUUUAUCAACCAAAAAUUUAAUUGAAACCAUUAAACGCAAGAUUUAUCGAACAAUUGGUAAUAAAAACACUACCUGACAUAAAAAAAAAAUAAAAACAAAACACGAAAUAAAUAUUUUUAAACAGAUUUUUGUGAUAAAUACAAAGCGAAACGUGUUAAAUUUUAAGAUGGGAUUAUUAAGCUAAAAUACACAUAAUAGGACAAAGGAGCGAAAUGUGCUAAGAGUUUUCGGAAAACGGCACAAUUGCAACAUCAGAAGAAUAAAACAAGCGGUCAUUAGAGAAAACGAAUGAAAAGCAAAGAAAGUUAAACGCGAAUGUAUGCAACUUUUAUAUUGAUAAAAAUAGCUGAUUUUUUAUCAAUAAUUCUAGAUUAAAUGACACAAACGACAUAUAUGACUGUUUAUUUUUUUAUUAAUAAGCGUAUUAUGUCGAUGAAAAGUAUAACUUAUAAAUGAGAAUAAGCAUAAUUUUAACGCUUCGUGUGGGCUAAAGUUAUGUUUCCCAAUUAUAUAAAAACAUGCUAAAGAGAAAUUUAGAUAAUAUCUUAAUUAAAUGCAUAAAUUGAUAUCCAGUUAAAGCAAAUUUUAGCAAAUUUUUUUUCGAUUUAAAAAAAAAACAGUAAAACAAAGACAAAUAUAUAUAUUUAAUGCAAUUUUUAUAAAAAUACGCGCGCUGCAAAAUCUUUUCGAAUUAUCUACAAAAAGAAAAAAGCAAAUUGUAUAGCGAAAUCAAAGAAAUUCAAUUGUAGUUGAGUUGAUGUCGAAAAACAGCACUGUUUUAUUUAAUAUUGUUCAAUGGAUAUUUUUCCGUUUUUUUAUUUCCUUUCUCCCGACAUGUUUAACCUAAUUUGUUUUGAGUUUGUAACGGUAUUCAUGAGACAAACCAAUUGAUAUAACCAAGGUUUUCAACGUCUUGGAUAUUCUUAAGAAAAGUCGAACGCAAAAAUAAUGGAUUUUAAUUGCAAAGACCCAAUGCCAAUAUUCCAAAAAAAAAGUUAAAACGCGAUAAAUGUGCACCUUUAAUACGGUCAAUGAAAACAAGAAUGUAAAAAUAUCGCUUGAACCUUUUUAACUCUUUAUCUUUCUCUAUAUCUGCACUUUGUGUCUAUACCUCUUUGUCUCUUUCUAAUAUAUAUAAUAAAUGAAAAAUUAUAUAUGGAAAAUAUGUCCUAAAUGUAUCCUUUUUCCAAAGAAUUUUAAAUGUUUUUUGACUUCAAUUUAAAACAAAGCUGAUAUGAAAUGUUUCAAAAGUUUAAACGUAAACGUAAUUCAAAUCCUUAAAGAAAAAUGAAAUGUAAUUCAAUAAGAUAUUGCAAAAUACAAAAAUCCACUUCCUUUUAUCCUAUUGUAAAAUCAGAUUUAAUGAAAAGCUAACAAGAUGAAGAAAAAAACACUAACCUGAUACCCUAGGUAGUCUUUUGGUUAUUAUUAGAACAUAUUAUAUUUUUAUAGAUUAAAUGUAGUGAAAUCGAUUGUUUUCUCUAUAAUUUAUAACCUAAUUUAUAGAAAAAUAUGUAAAGAUAUGAAAUCUUUAAAAAAAAAUUAUUUUUCAUCCCGUUUUCUCGCAAUAUUUUUAUUAUUUUUAUAUAGACUUUUAUAAAGGUUUUUGAUAUGUUUUUUCCCUUUUUUGUAAAAUGCAUAGUUUUGCGAAAUAUUUGGAUUGUAAAUAUAAUUCGUAUGUUGAAAUUAGAUAAAGCACUUUCUUUUUAUUUGUUCUCCUUAUGGACAUACAUAGACAAUGUUUGAUAUUACUCCCUAUUUUCAUCGUUUUACCAGUUUAUUCAAUUGCGUAGUAGGUGUUGCAAUCUUUUUUAUAUUAGCUGAUUGUUGUUACGUCCCUAAACCUAUUUUUAAAAUCCUCAAUAAAUGAAAAAUUUCACUAUAAUGAUAAAAAAAAUCAGCAAAAAAUUUUUUAUUUUUAAAAUCGUAAAAGAACAUUUUUUUAUUAUUAAAUGAAUAUAGCGUAAUAAGGCAUUUUAUAGGAUUUUUAGAUAAAUUAUAUACAUUUUUUAGAAAUGACAUUUUUGUGACAUCAUAUAAAAGUGAAAGUUGAAUGUAGAUUAAUUUUUUAUCAUUCUUAGAACUUUAAUAAUUGUGUCAAGAUAAGACUAACGUGUUUUUAUGUGUUAGUUUGGAUAAAUGAUAUAGAAUACGCGAUCGUUGCUCGUUAUUCUAAAGCUGCAGUUAAUUUAGGAAAAUUUAUCGGAAAAUUCUCUUACUUUAUGUUCAAUACAUUGAUUGAAUGCUAAAUAUAGAAUGGUCAUUUAUUGGAAGCAAACGAGUGGUACUACUCCGUGUGGAAGAUUAGGAAUCAAGAAAGUUUAUUUCACGAACUGAAAGAAUUAAUUGCUUAAAUUGGAAAAAACAUUAUUUUCUCUGUAUAAAUUAUUGGAAAGAGAAAGUCUUCCAAUAAUGAGUUGCGAAUUACACAAAUUACAUCCCAUUGGCGAGGCGUUGUUUUUAGGUUCAAGUGCUAACGGCAGCAAAGGGUUCUAAUUUUUUUUUUUGGUGACAGGGUAGGUACUUACAUAGAUUCUAAUUUUUGAUACUUGAGUUCACUGACACAAAUCGUGUCGCCCUUGAGGAUGAAUACCGUUAAACUGAUUGGUCCAAUGAUGAAAUGGUCUGGUUUUGAAAAUUAUUAGAGCGAUUUCUUGGCUGUAUUGCCCCACCUUCUAUUAUUUUGCAGAUUUCGUAACUUUUCCGUUUUUGUUUUCCUCCAGCGCUAAUUAAAAGGAACUCCCGAUUUGCUCUGCAUUCCAAGUCAGAUAAAAAUAUUGAUCAUGAAGUUUUAAAUUAGUUUUCUUGGGUGAUGGUACGUUCCGUAAUGAUGUGUAUUCUUGGCCACCGAAUGAAAUUCGGCUAAAGAAACUAUCUAGUUUUGUAUUAUACAUAGUUUUUUUUAUUAUAGGAAGGAAGAUAAACCAACGGUUAUGUGCUGAUUGGAUCUUUCAAACUACUUUCGUAGUUAUUUAAAUACUACGGAUUUGAUCGAACUUGCAAAAUAUAUUAUUCAAUUACACAUUAGGCAUAUAAUAUUUUCCUCCAGCCUAACCUUUGUCCAGUUCACUAGCAGAGACGGCUUGUUUAGAUCAGGUUCACAAUUGUAAUCGGCGCAUUGGUUUGGUGGAGGAAGAUUUGAGGGCCUCUUAAAUCAUCAUAUAGCGUAUCAAGUCAUUGCUGUUUCGGUUGUCGUUUGGUUCGGUUUCCCUUGACUUAGAUGUUUAGACUUAACUAGUAAAUUCUCGUCAGCACGAAUUAUAUUACCAUACAACCACCUUUCUAAUAGUUUCUCCAGAAUGGAUCCAUAUCAAUCGUAGAUGUCUCAUUUCGGACUUGGCCAUUGCGUAUUACACCGCGUUGCAGCGUUCAUUGUCUUUGGUGGCUGGCUUGUGCUAUGAAUCACAAAGGGCGACAGAACAAUUGAUGCUGCGAUAGAUGUUAAAUAUAGAAAAUAUAUUAAAAUAUAAAUAAUUUUAAUGCUGCUCCAUUGCUAUAAGAUUUACCACCAUGCUUUCUUUGCUAAAACGAGGGGGAAGAUAUAGUAAUUCAUUUUUUACUAGUAGCUUUCCACCUGUGGAAUAUAGUCGGUUAUCGCCCGGUCUAUUUAAAUAACUACCUUCUUUAUUCCCCUUUGGUAAGUUAUUUUAUUUUGGCUUCGAGAGUAAAUUUACUGGUAAAAUACAGAUAUUAUUGGAUCAGAAACAUUCUGUCGAUAUUCAAAUAGUUACACUCAAUGGUCUACAUAAAUGACAAUUUAUUAUAUAACGUCUAUGCCGCAGUCCACAGGUAAAUGUUUAAAUGCAGCGAUAAAUAUAUCUGCCUUCCAUCCAAUAACAGAUGAUUUUUGUCGUAAAAUGUAUUUCAAUUAAGUCAUGGCUUGCUUUUUUUAAAAAUUAAAUGGAAGGUUUACUGUACUGUUUGUCGGUUAUGCUUGCUUUAAGAAGAAGCAACUACCCCUAUUGACAACAAAUUUUAAAGUAAAUGGAAUUGUAGACUCCCACACAUGGAUGAAUGACAUCAUUCUGCAUUGAGUUUAAGAGUGCCCAUACAUACCAAAGGGGUUAAACAUUUUUAUUAUUAACCCAAAAUAGUCAUGUGAGGCCUCGUUUAUUCCUUCCCAAAGCUGAUAUUAUUUUUGACACCAUGAGCCAACAUUCACAAAACUCUUCAUAUCCGAAGCGCCAAGCUUUCGGCUUCCUACUUGUUAUAUUUAUCCAUUUACGAAGUAGGGAUAGCGGUUCAAUUUUUUUAUCCGAAAAUCUACCAGCGUCAUUUUGCCUGAUGGCUUUUGCCUCGGUACAUUGAUGGUCGACAUGAUUUUACUUCACUGUCACAUUAAUAUACCGAUAUACAUUAUGCUUCGAGUCAAUGAACUCAAAAAGCGUGCAUAGGAUGUAUAUUAGCCAUCUUCCGUUACCUGGCCAAGACACUAACAUAUGCACACCCGUAUUGUGAUUUUUGAUGCCAGUCUUCUCCUCUACCUGCCUGACUCUAGACGGAGUAAAGCGCUGCCAUUGUCAGUUUUUCUGACAACUCGGCUUUAAAUUUAUCUAGCCCCCCUUUUAGCAUUGGCUAGUAUACCCCACCAUGACUAUUGUUAUUAUUUCUCUACCAUGGACAGAUACCUGAAUGAACAUAGACGAAAAAAUAUCAAGCAAUUAGUCAACAUUUAGUUGUUAAAAUCUAGUUCAAGAACUUCUGUGUUUUGUGCCCAAAUCUCCUGAUUUUUUUCUUAGUAAAUACAAACGAAGCACUUGCUUCUAUAUAAUACAGCGUUAGAAUUUUCAGUUGUUCCUCCGGCCUUCAUUCCCAUAUACAAUUCUCCCAUUCGAAAUUCACGCCAAUUGAGGGACGUUUUGCUCGCAGGCCAUGAAAUAAGAUCAGACAUCCACUGUUACUAUGUAUGAAUCAAUUAUCUACCUAAAAAUACAGUGAGCGUAAGCUGCGGUUCUUUACAUAGGUGGUCAUUACGUAGGGGUUUGUAGGUUUUAUUAUAAGUCUCAGUAAUAACUCACUGAACCCAACUUCCCCCUCUUGGUAAAGGCCAAAUUCUGCUAGCAUAUCUUUUUCCAUAACUGGUUUUCAUUCAGAUUUCGCUGAAGUAUCCGGAUGGCUUAUAUAGUGGGCAGUGCACUGGACUGACGUAGUGGAAGGUCACGGUUCAAACCUUUCUGGUGGACGAGGGAUUUGUAUCGUGACUGAAUGUCGGAUACCAGCCGAGUUACUGUGAAUCACACCCGAGCGCAAUGCUGACCACAUUGCAUCAGGGUAAUGUCCGUUACUGCCUCAAAUGAAGUGUUCCAACACGCUGCAAGGCUCUAGUUGGAUUGGAUUUUGGCGCCGACAAUUAUUGUUAUUAAUAUGCCUACCAAUUGAAUAGCUAAUAUUAGACUGACACGAAUAGUUCGAAACAAUUUCUAGAUUUUCGCUAUCAAUUUUAAAUACUGUCAAAAUGUUUCACUUGUGUUUAUGACUAAAGACAAUUCGCUCAGUGUAAGAACAGUUCAUUUUCCAGCAUAUACAAAUUGGAGUUGCAAUGACCUAUGGGUCAUCAUCAUGGCUCGAAACUAGUAGAGACCUAACUGAAAACAAUGUCCAAAUUGUACCUUGAGUACCCAGGAGUUCAAAAUCCAUUUCGAUAGAUUUGUAACGCAGUAUCUAUUAUAAUUCUGUUAAAAAAAUUAAUUGGUCCAGUUCUUCGGUUUGCUGGGAUCCCUUGAAACUUCUGUUAGGAAUUACAAGUGAUAUCAUAUAUUAGUUCCAAAGAGACUCCUUCGAAACCAGGUUUUUAGUAAAGUGGAAAGGUUAUGCUAGAAGCCAUUGAGUCCCUUUUUCAACAGAAGCUAAUUGAUCUUUCUUCAAACGUAGCUUGAUUUAUUUUUGAAGUGUAUCUCCCGUUGAGAUUCGACCCUCUUUACUACGACGCUUUCUCAAUAAGAAUUCUGCCAUCUUUUUGGAAGCUUGGUGCUUAAAAGGACAACAGCCAUUCCCUUUCGUCAGAAUAAUAAAACUUGCGUUCUAAAUGUGUUUUCUUCAAUUGCUGGGUAAUUAUUGUCUAAGUCAAAGCUCAUGACAACGUCCCAAAGUAGAAAGCAAUUUGUUCCUUGUAGGGGUUGUCUAUGACCUUUUGUUCAGCAUAUUGUCAAAAUAAAUCCUAUUUUCUUAAUAAUAUGAAAUAAACAAAAAACUCUUUUUGGCUGAAUUGCAUAAACUUGCUUUUUUGCUGCCCUAGCGCAUCAACUACUUCGAUACUCUCCAUUUGAUUGUUCUGACAAUGUGUCGCAGCCUCCUCCGGUUGAGUCGACUUCAAUGCAACGACUUUCGAAAAAAUUCACAUUUCGCUGGACCCCGUAAUGAUAGUGGAUUUCCUCCCCCACAAGCAAUUGAUCGCCUUCCAAUAAAGAAGAAACAUCAUAAAUGACAGCAAUCGAUGAUAGCUCUCCAGCAACGAAAUUUUGUUUUCAGUAUAACAUCUUUUCCUAGGAAACUGAGGAGCUUUCAAAUGUUUUCCCAUCAAUCUACUGACCUUAGAGGGUCAAGAACGCGUAGUUUCGCAGACUAGUCGACCGUUUUAAAAGAUCUCAUGGUUGUGCACCUCUUCAUAUAUUACGAGAGUUUGUACCAUUUCUUAAUCUUCUUUGGUAAAGCUUUUUUCAACAGAAAGAAAACCGUAUCCAUGUUGGCUUGGAGAUGGUACUUUAAUUUGUGUGAAAUAAUUACAUAAUGCAAAAUUCAAUACGAGGCAACGAUCAACGUCUUCUAGGAAUCACUUGAUUUUUUAAUGUAUUUGUAAACAGUAUCGAUUCAAAAAUUAAUACUCCUAUAAGAAAAACAUUUUUUACAAAUCAUUGAAACGCUGAAAGUCUUAAAUAUGAAAGCGGCAAAAUAAGAAAAAAUUACUUAUACAAAGUAUAAUAAUAUUGUAAAUUUAAAAUUCGAAAUGAAUUUUUAUAUAAAAUUACCAAUUACAAAAAGUAAUAUAUGAAAUGUAUUUUCGUAAAACUUUCAAUUAUUUUUAUGCAGACAAAUAACCGAAAUGAAGAAGAAAGACAACCUUACAUCUUUCACACAGUUAGUAAAGGUUCUUUGUUUUCAAUUUGAAAAUAGAAAAUAGAGCAAAGAACAUUGCUUCUUUGUUACAUAUUAGCAAAAAUUACGAUAAACCAUUUUUCGGUGUAUUGAAAAAAAGCAAAAAAAAAACAAAAGUUAAAAUGAAUGAUUUAACUAAUUUUUAGAAAAAUAAAUGAGAAAAAUGAAGUAAAUAAAAAUUCGUCCUAUAUUUUUAUAAUUUAUUAUUCAUCUCAGUGUACAUUGUACUUGUAUAUACAUAUAUCAAAAUUUCAAUACUAAAUUGAAAAUACAAAAAAAAAACAUUUUUAAGAGCAUCGCCUUUAUAGAAAAAUUAAAGAGAAAUUACAAUUAAUACACAAAUAAUAAAAGAAUAUGCUGUUAUAUAACGUUAGACAAAAUCCAAUAAAGCAAACAGAGCCGAAGAAAAUGAAAAAUCUACAGUAAGUGAAAUAAAGCAAAGAGAAACAAAUCUAUAGUAAAAUUUUAUUAGUCAAAUUGAAAGUUGAAAACAAAUGGGAACCCUGAGUAAAUUAAAUUUGUAUGUAAUUCAAUUCUCAAUAAUAUAAGAAGUAUAAUGUACAUUACCUAAACGAUAGCAGCAAAAUAAACAUUUUCCAUAAGAAUGUUUGGAACCCCAAGAUAUACCACAAUACAAUUCACGAUACCAUGGGAACUUUCAUAAAAUAGCGAAUUCAACCCCCAGAAAAACUAAAAACCAUGCAAUAGAGGAGUAAAUAUUUCAUCAAUAUUUCAUGAAAUGUGUAAUUAAUCGCUUCAGCUGCAGUUGUUUCGGAGGCAAAAUUGUUAGCUUACAUCAAAAGGCGAGAAGCAAUUAAUUAUUAAUCAAUUUUUAGAAUGAAGAUAAAUGCAUCAGUAAUAUUCAAUGGAAACAAAAUAUAUAAAUUGCCGCCACCCUUCUUCUCAUCCAGCAAUUUCAUAGAAAAAUUACAUGCAUCUCAUCUCAUAACAUGCAUUUCCACGAAAUAUUCUAAGUUGAAAAGGGGAGAAGGCCCCCACAAAUUCAGCAGAUAUAAAUUUUGUAUUUGUCAUUCGCUGCUUCGGAUGAAAUAGAAGCAACAUAAAGUGCUGAAUGUCCGAAAACAUACAAAAGUACGCUAUUAAAUACUUGAGCAAAAGAUUUUUGUAAUAUUGUAACUUUUAAAUGAUUGGUAGUAAAUCCAGUGAAGGCAUGUUUCAUACAUUAUGUACACUUAAUUGGAGGAUAACCAUGUUACCGCCUUUAGGGUUAGUUAUAUUACUUUGUACCUACGAAAAAGAUAUAGAAAUAUCAAUUAUAUUUUCAAAUCGAUCGACGCAUUAAAACUUUUAUUUCAACUGUUAUCAUGUUUUAAUCGAAUGUAUAUAUAAAUCAACACGAAUGUAGCUCUCUAAAAUAGAAAAAGUCUUAACGAAAAUAGUCAGUAAAAAGCUAAAACAGCGAUCAAUUUACAGAAAAAAUAUUAGUUACACAUAAUUUUUAGUCAAAAGCUUAUUAUUUUUAGCACUAUGAAAUUUAUAGGAACGUUACAAUAUUACAUUCUGCAUAACUGUACGCCAUCAUCAGUCAAUAUAAAUCAAUAAAAAUAAUUUCAACAAUUUAUCAAAGGAAAAAGAAAACAUAAACCAAGCAAAAGGAAAAACCAGAAAUAUUCAAGCCAAAAACAUAAUACUACAUCGACAUUUCUAUCCAAUGGAGGCGAAUAUUUAUCAACAAAAGCAAAUAAAAAAAUAAAAUUUAUAGACAAAAAUAUUUUUUAAAGCAAAAUAUUUAAAUAAAAAUAAAAGAAUAUCUAUUUUAGCUGUCAAAACUUUUAUACUACUCUUGUUACCUAAGUAUUAGCUAUUAUAAACCAAAGAAGAAAAAGAAUAAUAAAAAAACACAAAACAGCAAAAAAAGAAUCAUAAAAUUUUUAUUGGGUUAAUGAACAACAAUACAACAAGAAGAAAUAUCGUGCAAUAUAUUUAAACCAUUUAUAAAAAUACCAACAAAACUGAUUGAGAAAAUUCAUUCAAAUUACUGCGAAUCAUGGAAACAUAAUGUAAUUUUCGUUCUCUAUUUUAAAUAUAUUUCAUGAAUGAUUUUUGCUCUUAGAUUCAAUAAUUUAAUAAUGGAAAUAUUAAAGUGUUUUGCUUUGUCUAGUGUUGUUAGAGAAUUAUUUUUAUUUAUUUCAGUGAGAGAAUGUACAUUAAGUUGUUUAGCAGAAAUAAAGCAAACAAAAAAAAAACAAAUAGUAAAGGCUAUCACAUAAAUUACCACAGAAAUUAAUACAAAAAGGAAAAAAAAUAAUUGCAAAAAAAAUAUAAAAUUAUAUACUUAUAGAGUUGAAUAUGUUACCUCUUUUGUAAUUGAACUUUUCUAGCGUAAAUGAUUAAACUGAAACAAUAAACUAUUAAAAAAA